AAAUGCCCACUUAUAACCAUAGGUCUACUGUCUGGAGUAGGGGGUGAGACCAAAGAAGUUGAUAUUGAGUCUCAGUUUACAUGAGAAGAAGAUUCUAUUAAAGAGGUUGUUGAGAGUUGCAGAGGAAGAUAAUGAAAAGUUUUUGUUGAAGCUCAAAAACUGGAUUGAUAAGUAUUAGAGACUCUUCUUUUUUCUUCAUUUCCUUUCCCAUUUUUUGCUGAACUGAAUUUUUUUCCCUUGAAUGUAUUUAUUGAGUUACUUUCUCUGCAUCUAGGUUGUGCUCAAAGUUGGACUUGAUGUUUCCAAAAUCAAAAUCUGGUUUGACUGUUUGAGCAUUUAAAUGUUGAUGCAGAAACUUAUGUAGAAAGCGGAGCUUUGCCAACAAUCUUCAACUUCUCUGUUAACAUACUUGAGGUACGAGGUGACCGACUGUCUGUCUGAAACCCGUCAGACAGACUCUUGGAAUCUUAGAGCAGCCUUCUACAGUGGGACGACUCUCGGAACACCGUGAGAGGAGGUGUCGAUGACUCAUUGCUUUGGUGGCAGCUGAGUUGGCUACGACGAUGGAGUUGAUGGAGUUAGUUGAAUUCCAAAAUUAGACCCAUAUAACCAACCCCAUAUAAUUGGGAUUGUUGUCGGUUGAAUUGGGCUGAGGGCAACACUCUCAAUUCGCUCUUAAGCCAAGGUGUGGUUGAGUAGUCUGAGGCCCGAUGUGGCCGAGGGCUGAUAGGCCUGUCUUGCAAGGAGUGAAGAAAGGAGGAUGUUAGAGGCCCCGGGUUGGUACACGAGGCGAAGACUCCGACGGUCAAGUUAGUACGAGAGCAGUACAAAGUGGACGAGGCCUGAGCUGUGAGCACUCAGACGAGACUAAGAGUUUUCAAGUCCAAGUUCUUAAGUUCCAGCCCUUUACCUUGAGGGGGUUAUCUCCUAUUUAUACUUGAGGCCACCUGGAGGUAGAUGGGCUCAGACGGUCCAAAUGUGGUUCGUAUGUGAGGGGCGGGGUCAUCCGAGGUCACCAAGUGACACCAUGCCAUUGGUUCCAAAAUGUCUGUCGAGCUCUAUUCCACGCACACCCUAAUUGGGUCCACUCUGAACGCCGCCGCCUAACACAUGCAAGCCCACUAUUGGGCCAGGCCAUAUGCGCCUACAUUAGGGAUAAAGCUUGGAUGAUGUUGAUGAUGAUGACAACAACACAACAAUAACAAUAAUCUUUUUUCUCGGCGUUCAAUCUA